GAUGAACGCUGGCGGCGUGCCUAAUACAUGCAAGUCGAGCGAACAGACGAGGAGCUUGCUCCUCUGACGUUAGCGGCGGACGGGUGAGUAACACGUGGAUAACCUACCUAUAAGACUGGGAUAACUUCGGGAAACCGGAGCUAAUACCGGAUAAUAUAUUGAACCGCAUGGUUCAAUAGUGAAAGACGGUUUUGCUGUCACUUAUAGAUGGAUCCGCGCCGCAUUAGCUAGUUGGUAAGGUAACGGCUUACCAAGGCGACGAUGCGUAGCCGACCUGAGAGGGUGAUCGGCCACACUGGAACUGAGACACGGUCCAGACGCCUACGGGAGGCAGCAGUAUGGGAUCUUGCGCAAUGGGCGAAAGCCUGACGGAGCAACGGCGCGUGAGUGAUGAAGGUCUUCGGAUCGUAAAACUCUGUUAUUAGGGAAGAACAAAUGUGUAAGUAACUAUGCACGUCUUGACGGUACCUAAUCAGAAAGCCACGGCUAACUACGUG
rnacentral:rRNA from 1 species